rnacentral:lncRNA from 1 species
AACAGCCUGGCCCUCUGAUGUUCCCCAGCCUUGGCGCCACAGGAAUGAAAACUUCUGGAGGAAUGGAGCGUGUCAUUGCAAACCUGGGGCACUGCGGAAAUGCAAAUGGAGAAAUUGCAAAGGUCAUCACAAAGUCAGGCUUGCUGCAGAAGAUAGCACUGUGGGUGAACAGGAGAUACCCAAAGCUCCAGCUUCUGGACUGACUUACUCCAUUUGCUACCUUCUAUAAGAAGACUGAGGCUCAGAGAAGCAAAGCAGCCCAUCCAAGUUUCCCCAAUGAACAUGUUUAAAUGGAAGAGAGAGGAAUGAGAGAGGAAGGCAAGAAUACAAAUAUUUAAGAAAGCUUUAUUUUCCUGAAGCAAAGAAUGACACUUGAAACCGAGGGAAUCUCAAUGUCCACCUUGCAUUUCCAUGACCAGCAAGAGAGGGGAACCCCUACAGGAAUGUUCAUCCUCUGCCUCUGACCUGGGAAGUCUCAGUCAUCCCCGAGGACCAAUUCCAAAUGUCAAUUCAUUCACCACCAUUGCCCUUGUCAUUGCAUCCACUCCUCCUCUCUCUCUGACUUGUGUUAAUGGUAUAGCAGAAGUUGUCUGCACAGAGAGGAAGGAAGGAGACGAUCUUUGAUAUGAAUUCUGUUGGCCAAUGAGGCCUAGAAUGUUAACAAUUAAUGGCCACAUUUUCCUAGUUAACUACAAAGCAAGAGUGAAAAGGAGAUAAUGUUGGACUAACUAUUUGACUACAUUGUCUGAUUUAUCCAAAAGGUGGUAUGGAAUUUUGAUCCAGUAGUGGUACAUCAUCUUUGAUAAUACACACGUACACAUAAGGGAGUGUACACACCCAUAUACACUCACUCACACUCUGCUAUUGCCUACUACCUAUUAGAUACUCCCAACAAAAGCUCUUAAACUAAAAAUGACAUGGUGUUGUUAAGUUUCUCAGGGAAAUCCACCUAUCUAUGGAACUCAAGAGAGCAGAGGGCUGGUCUCUGGAGAAAAAUAAAACAGGGUCAAAAACCAAUUUUAUUUGUUAUUUUUCACUGGAAAUACAUGGUUAAUCCAAGAACUAGCAAAGAGGUGUUGAAAAAGAUUCUCUGAUGUCAUUUGUUUUUUCUUUUUCUUUUUUUUUUUUUUUUUUUUUGAGACGGAGUUUCUCUCUUGUUGCCCAGGCUGGAGUGCAAUGGCACAAUCUCAGCUCACUGCAACCUCUGCCUCCCAGGUUCAAGCGAUUCUCCUGCCUCAGCUUCCUGAGUAGCUGAGAUUACAGGAGUGCGCAACCAUACCUAGCUAAUUUUGUAUUUUUAGUAGAGGCGGAGUUUCUCCAUGUUGGUCAGACUGAUCUCAGACUCCUGACCUCAAGUAAUCCACCUGCCUCAGUCUCCCAAAGUGCUGGGAUUACAGGCCUGAGCCACCGAGCCCAGCCUCAUUUGUUUUUUCAUACAGAUAUAUCUCAUCUGCAUUAGAGGUAGAUCCAAGAUUAAGAUGUGAACAUGUUCCAGCUUUAAUUUCAGUUGUUUUUCUUUUUUAAAUAAAGAAAAGCCAGCAAUACAAUUUGUUUCUCAUUGAGCACUAUACACAUUCAGCUAUGACUGAGAAUUUAGAAGAUACAAAUUCAAACUCCAGUUUAAUUUCCUUUUUCCUGUUUGACUCCAAGCUCAGUAGGUGAUCUUAUAAGUUGACAGGGGUAACAUUGCACCUAUUAGCACUUGUCAACCAAAAGUAGAUUGUUCGGGUUUCAAUAAAUGUUUUUUUGAAUUGGAUUUAGGUUGGUGAGAAAAUAUAUUAAGUCAGAAUUCUUUGAGGCAAAUUACAUAUUGAAAUGAACAGUUUGGUGUUCAUCCUGUCUACCAUCCCCCUCAAAAACAAAGAGACAGACAGAAAGAAAAAAAAAGCAGAAGUUUUGCUUUUCUAAGCUACGAGAAUUUCUUCUGCUGCUACAUCUGUGAACGCUUUACAAGGCAAUGUCUACAGUUUGAGUUUUACAGCCCAUUUUGAUUGCAGUUUACAUGACAUCUGGGGCUCUAUUUUUGGAGAAAUUUCAAAGCUAGUGACUUCCAGUUUUUAAUCAGCAGUGUAUUUAUUUUCUACCCUAGCAUAAUUGUUCAUGGCUCCACAUUGAUUUUUUUAUAGGAGACAAUGCAAAAUGAUAAUCAGAGUGAAUUAGUAAUUUGAUCUUGUAUCUGUCAAGGCUUGAUGGCUUUUACCUGCUCUAGAGGCUAGAAGGCAAUGUGCUGACCUCAUUGUGUUGAAAAAAAUUGAACACAUCGUGGUUGUCAAGGACAAGACAUUCUCAGUCAUAAGAACAAAGAGAGCAAGAAAGGCUAAUGAGGGAAGAGGCCAUACAACCCUGAAAAGUACACAGCCUCCUGCCCCUCUGCUCAGAAUCUGGGGUCAUGUUUGCAGCCACAGGUGCCACAUGCAGAAGUGUCAGAGGUGUGAAAACCAGAGCAACUCCAUCUUGAAUAGGAGCUGGGUAAAAUAAGGCUGAAACUUGCUGGGCUGCAUUCCCAGACAGGUUAAGGCAUUCUAAGUCACAGGAUGAGAUAGGAGGUUGGCACAAGGUACAGGCCAUCAAGACCUUGCUGAUAAAACAGGUUGCAGGUUGCAGUAAAGGAGCCAGCCAAAAACCACCAAAACCAAGAUGGCCGUGAGAGUGACCUCUGGUCAUGCUCACUGCUGCACUGCCACCAGCGCCAUGACAGUUUACAAAUGCCAUAGCAAUGUCAAGAAGUUACCCUGUAUGGUCUAAAAAGGGGAGGGAUUAAUAAUCCACCCCUUGUUUAGCAUAUCAUCAAGAAAUAACCAUAAAAAUGGGCAACCAAUAGCCCUCAGGGCUGCUCUGUUUACAGAGUAGCCAUUCUUUAUCCCUUUACUUUCUUAAUAAACUUACUUUCACUUUGCACCACGGACUUGCCCUAAAUUCUUUCUUGCGCGAAACCCAAGAACCCUCUCUUGGGGUCUGGAUAGGGACUCCUUUCCAGUAGCGCAUUUAACAGAAGGACAGGCUGUGCAGACAUUAUUUUCGCUCCUUUCUACUGAGAAGGGAAAACACCACAAUUGAGCAGCCUGCUCCUCUAUAAGUGAAUGAAUAAGCACUUGCUUUUCAUUGUGGGUGAGUCAAAUGGCCUGGCAUAUAUGCAAGUAAGAACUAGAGCAGAGGCUGCUCACCUGCAAACUCACAUCAGGGCUUCUGCCCGGAAUUACGGUAUUUUUUGUUUGUGUGUGUGUUGUUGUCAUUGGCUUCUUUUCAUAGGGGUUUGGAUGAAGCUAUUUAAACACAUGAGACAGCAGCCACUAGGACUGUAUCUAAGAAGGUAAGUGGUUUGCCCAGGGUUACAUGGCUAGUGGAAGAGCUAGUCUUUACAAGAAUCUUUUACAUAAACCAAACCAGGUGAGGUAGGAUCAAUAAGAGGGUGAAGUGAGGAACCGACAUUUUUAAGAGCUCCAUGAAAUGAAGGAGCUUGGAGAGAAAAUUGAUAGAUGGUACUUUCAGUAGCCCAGCCUCCUCCUGUAAUUUCUGGCUUCACCUUUCUCUAAGCCCUCCUUUGCUCUGAGUUCUGUCUGGGCAAGUCCCAAGCUCCUGGAAUGCAUCUUUGCCUUCCUUAUCUGGAAGCUAAUCACUAAAUAGCAGGUGGCGGAGAUUCUGGUUUUCAUCCCUCUUUCUCUCUCCCUUUCUCUCUUUUACUCACUUCCUCAGGGCUAUGAAUUUCUGAAUCUUAAACAGGAAACCUCCCUGAUUUGUUCACACCUGGAAUGCCAUUCUAUCUUUGUUUGAAGAGUGCAGAAAUUAGAGCGCGGGAGAAUCAAGAGAAGGAGCUGUUGUGUGAAGAGGGAAGAGAGAGGUCAGCAUUUAAAUGUGAACACACACACUGAGAGGCACAUAUACAUGCACACAGUUUAAUCUAAGCUAAGCAUUCUUUCUUUCAACUCCUGCAUUUCCCUCCUCAUCUCCACUGCCAGCAAAUGUCUUACAAGACAAAGAGUAUUUACUGUGUGUCACUUCAGUUAUCAACACUCUGCACAAAUAGGUUGACAGAGGAAACAGGCAAAGUACCUUUGCAGGCCCAUUUGGGGUUGAAAUAGCAACUAGACUGCCUAGAGGCUGCCAGAUAUUAGCUUACUUAUUGCUCCUGCAAAUGUUAGAAGCUGGCUCUUGAGAGAACCUGUCAUCAACAUCCCUGUCCCCGUGGGUGUCAGGAAGGUUCGGCCUUCUUUAAGGUAGGCACUGUGUCCUCAUGGACUGUUCAUUUUGGGAAGAACCUUGGGAGAUCACCUGGUUCAAGCUCCUGGCUUUAGUCAUUGUUUGUCUCUAAAUCCAGAGACCAAUGUUUGUGAUCUACUGACUCGUAAGCUCCCUAUGAGGAAAAUGGAACAAAAUAUUGGGCACAAAGACAUAAAUCUAAAUGCAUGGUUUCUAAUCUGUGGACCCUGAGAUCCCACAGGAGCACCAUAUUUGCAUGAAUCAGUGCUUAUAGGUUGACCAAAUAGCAUGAUUCACACACAUAUAUUAUAAUACUUCUAAUGGUUUUAUUCAUUCAUUCUACAAAUACAGUACUGCUUUGUGCCAGAAACUGUGGUAGGUGCUGAGCAUAUAAUAGACAGGGAAUAAGUCAAACUGACUCUGCCUUCAUGGAGCUUCCUGUCCAGUGGUAAAAACAGGCAGAGAGAGCUGCAGAAACACAGAGUGAAAGCAAUAACUCAGAUUUGGAAUAUUAUAUAGAUAAGGUUAUGAUUAAUAGAACUCAAAUUCCUUUAAAGGUAGUAGUCUCUGUCUGCUAUUAAGCAUUUGCUCUACCAAUGCAUUCCUAAAUGUAUUUUUAUCUACAUGACUAUACAUGUUUUCAGAUUCAAAUGUGCUCUCCUGACUAAAAAGAUUGGAUACCACUGACCUAAAUCAUCUGCUAGGAUUGCCUUUUCUAUCCCAGGUGAAUAAAUUAAAUAGCUAUGUAGUUUUCCCUUUGCCACUGGAAGUUUCACUGAAAAAUCAACUCAUGAAAGGCAGAUUAAUAAGAGAAAAGGCAUAGAUAUUUGUUCACAUUCAUGCGAGAAUCACAGGGUGAUUUCCCAAUAUCCCAGUGGGUUACAGAUGCUUGUAUACCUACUUCUUGAGGGAAAGAGAGAUGGGACAUUGUGGAUGACUUUAGGGACAUUAGUAAAUAAUUUUCAGGGCAAUUCAAUGGCUGUGAAGAAUAUACAAUGGCCUGGGAGAAAGUCUGUUGGGCCCACAGAGCAGAGAGUAGUUUGUGAUAAAAGUCUGCCCAUGUUUGUUGACAGACUUCAGUUUUUCUUCCUGCGAUAUGAGUUCAGUUAAUGAAAAUUCAGAGAAGGGAUCAGAAGUAAUUGUUUUCGUCUUUGGUAGGUGUAGAUCUUAGGCAGAUAAGGGAAUUUCAGAGAACAGCUUCAUCCUUCUCCAUGAUAGAAGUAAAGGAUUGAGAGACAGAAGCGGGUAGAGAGGGAAAAACAAUUGUUCUCCUUGGUGGGUCCGUCUGAUCUUUACGUAGAUAGGGGGAAAGUCUCCUCCAGCAUCUGUUGAUCUCAAAGGACCUUUAAUUUAAAAUACCCAUUAUACCAGGGAGCUAUAUUUUGGGUGAAGUUUCCUGUGCUCCUUCAGCAAGAAAUAAUAUUUUACCAAUAUUCCAGUAACCCUCAGGGAACAAUUUUUUCAUAGUUCUACACUGGCUUUGCAUCACUGAAAAUUAAUCUCAGAGUUCUCUGUACCCCAUAACCCAAGAAUGCUACGUCUCUGGGGAACCCUGCAGAAACCCAGAAAGAGCAUGAUCAUUUGGUUAUAAAUUCCACCUCCCUAGUGGGCAGCCUCAUCUCUGUCCUUGACAUGGGUGAGGUUGGAGGCAAAGGUUUGUUGUUGAUUUUGGUAUGCUAUGGAAUACCAGGCCUGGAGCCACAGGACAUGACUUGUUGCUCUAUUAGACAUGCUAAAUAAGCUCCUGAAACAAAGAAAUCAAGCGAAGAUUAGAUGGGAGGAUUUUCUUGUCAAGAAUUAUGAAUGCAAAAAUAACCCUGAAAAUAUAGCUAUAGUUGAAUAGGGGCUGGGCAAGACAAUGGACAGAAAGAUUUGUUAGACAUAAGAUCCCACUUAAAUCAAAAUGAUCCACCAAGGCUCAGCUCCCAAUGGGGUCUCUAUGUGCAGAUUCAAGGGUAGAAAUAUUGUAGGGACGUUUUUAGUAUCAAUUCUGCAUUAGACAAUGUGAUAGGUAUCAAGCCUACAAAUACCAAUGAGAUAUAGUCCUUUAACUGUCUUCUUUUAGUUAAAAAAAAAAGUAAUUGUCAAUACUCAUUAAAAAUAUAAAUAAAUAAAUAGUAUUUUAAACUUUGUGACAAUGGGCAGAACAGCAACAAGGAAAGCAGGCCAAGGCACUGGGUUUGGAGUCAAGAGAUGGGUUUUAUCCUGGUUAUAUGUUGAAUUUACUUCCCACCUUGGGCAAAUCACUUCCCUAUCUAAUCAGUUUCCUAACCUGUAAAAUGACAAAAAUCACUUCCACUUCCUAGUUUUAUGAUUCCAGGUCCAAUACAAGAAGGAAUUUCUUUUAAGGGCCCCCUUAAUCUGGUCAAAGUUAUCCUUCCCAGCAGGGCAGAAACUUCACCUGUUUGCAUUAGGCCUGGGUUGUGGGAUAAGCUAUCUCCUGACAGACCCCAAGAGUCUCCAUCUUCCAGUCCUCCCCAAGUGACCCCAUGAGAAGACGUAUUAAAGGAAGGAAUUCAAAACAGUAUGGCCCAUGUAAAGAGUAUCCUUUAGGAACAGGAUCUGUUUACUUAGUGGCUGGAAACUUAAAUGCAUGCAUUGUAUACCGCCCAACCCCCAACUCCCCACCCCCACUGCUAUCAUAGCCAUUAAAAAAAGGAGCAUAGCAGAUCUCUGACAGUUAGACCUUACCCAUUUUCAGCUCUGGACUUUCACUGAGGUAAUAUCUUUACCUGUUGCCAACUAGACCUGUUGGUGUGUGUAACUGUUUCUUCAUUCUGACUCAUCACACCUUGCUUGUGGCAGCGAACCCAGGCGCCAUUGUUUCCUGGUGAUCUCUGGCCUACUUUUUCCCAAACGCUGUGAGGCAGCCAUGGAGCCUUGUGAAAGAGAUUGACUUUCUCUCAGGUAGCCAAGGGCCUUUGGGACAGCUACCUCCUGAUCCCCUUUAACCCCAGGGGGAACUCUGAAGGCUGAGCCCCUCCUAAGUUACAACAUAGAAGUUAGUUCCAGUAAAACUUUCCAGGCUCUGCUAAUUCCAUAAGGGACUCUUAAAGAAUGAGAAAUGGAAGCCCAAGGUCUGCAUAAAAUCCUACAUGUGCUAAGCCCGCCAAAAUCAGUUUGUUGAGGAGAAGGAGCACAGUAGGAAGAGCUUUUGUAUUUUCAAUUCAGAUAAACCCCAGUAAGACUAGCCAUAGGGCAACAUAGAACUGCUUAUGGUUCCAUAUAUCUUGCUGUAUUUUCAUUCCAUGCCUUACCAUUUAAAAUAUUAUUUAAUUAUCUUUUUAGUGAGUAUUGCCAAUUACCGUUUUCUUUGCUAAAAGAAGACAGUUAAAGGACUAUAUUUUCUUGGUAUGUGUAGGCUUGGUGCCUAUCACAUUCCAUUCCAAAAACAUGUGCCUAAUGUUUCUGGAAUGUCCUCUCCCAGUCCACAGCCUCUCUUCACUGAGCUAAUUGCUACUUGUCCUUAACACUCAGCUCAAACAUCACCUCCUCCAGGAAGUCUCCACUGACCUCCCCCUUUGCAUUAGAUGCCUGUCUUGAUACAUCCCCCUAAGGCGUUCUGUGUAGCUCUACCUGUGCACUUUACCAUAUUGUUACAUAUUUACCCAUCUUUCUCACCUAGGCUCUACACCUUCUGUAGAACUAACUCAUGUUAUUCAUCUUUUUUCCUCUCCAUAGCUUACUACAUGGCCUUGUAUGUUUAUUGUAUGAAUAAACAAUCUGGUUCAUCCACUUAUUAGGUGUGUGUUCUGGGCAAUUUAAUUCACUUCUCUGAGCCUCAGUUUUCUCAUCUAUUAAUUGGAAAUAACAAUCCAUGUCUCUUAGAGAUAUUGUUCAUAUGAAGAGGUGACAUAUGUAAAGGCCUUCCACAAUGCUGACACAUAGGCACAGAGUCAAUUCACCUAGGGCUGUGGAUUUGCACAGGAAAUGAAGAAAAAACACAAAAGCAGCAAGCUCAGAGCAAUGAAGACUCUUGCUGUCAGUGUGCAGACCCUUUCCUCCAUGGAUGUAUUGUCCCAACCAGCGCUCCCUUGCUGCAAGGGAGCCUGGAAGUCCUUUUUUUCCCUUUUUUUCCUUCCUUCUUUCCUUUCGUUUUCUCCUUUAUUCCUUCCUUCCUUUCUUCCUUUUUUUCUCUCUUUUCGUAAAUGAGAAACACAUGAGUGAAUCAUUUUUAUAAGUUUUCCUGGGAAUCCAGCAUCUCUAGCCAGAAUAUUAAUAACGUGGUUACUCUGAUGAUUUCUCCCAUUGACCCUAAAAACCUAGACAUUCUCUUUUAUAGGUAGGUCUCUUCAAGUGAGGUCAGCUUCUCCAGAUAAUUUCUGGUGAUUUAUGCAGACACCUUGGGGAGGAAAAAAGGAAGCAGCACUGAUCUGAGCCUCCUGGAAACUCAACAAGUGGCCUGACCCUUGAAGGGUUUCUUCACCGUGUCUGGUAAAGUUUCCAAAUUCUGGAGAUGUGGAAGCAGAGGCACAUUACCAGAAGGCCAGGUAAUAAGCAUGUUGGCAAGUACUACUGCUGGCCCUGACCCACCAUAUCAUACCACAGGACCAUCCACACCCAUCCCCUAUCCCAAAACCACACAUCCACACUCCCCACCACCACCUUAACACACACACACUGCUCAUUUCCCUCUGGAGAUAUGCAGGGCUCUCCAUGGUCAAAUGACCCUAAAUCCUCUGGUGAAUCAGGUUGAAUCAGAGCCCAUGAGUCAUCCAGAGCACAUCUAACCCAGGGUUAAUUUAUUCAGCAAUCAUUAAGAAAGCAAGUUCCUACUGCCAGGUGCCGUCCUAGGCAUGACAGGCUGAUGUUUCUAGAACAUAUUUGACAGCCUUUCUCCCCAAGUCACACCAUGAAGGAGAAACCAUUUCAGUUAAGAAUGGUGAGUCAAGAGCUUGGCAUGGAGGUAUUACCAAGGAAGAGAUCUGUGUUGAGCCUGUGUGCAGAUCCUUAGCAUUUAAUUUAUUCUGCAAGGACACACAAGGUGGUAGGAAACCACUCCAGGGAACCCACCGAAGAGUCAAGCAAAGCAGAGCAUGGGUGCAAUCACAAGUCAUAGUGUGGGGUGGAGAGGCAAGGAUGGGGGAAGAGCAAAGAAAAGGAGGACUUCCCUCAGAAGACCUGCUACUUUUAAACUCAACCUUGGCCAAAGAACCAAGAAGCACUUUAGCAACUUCCCCAUGCUCGUCUCCAAAAUUUCCUAGGAUCUGAGAGGUGGAGGAGAGGGAGCUCCUUACAGGGAAAUGAACAGAGAGUGAUGGUGGGGCCUAGUUUGGGUUAGGCAAUGUGGGCUACUGUGAGGGUUUUAAAAUAUAAAUAUGCAGAACACAGAGGGCUUUUAGGGCAGUCAACUACUUUUAUGAUACUAUAAUGGUAGAUACCUGUCAUUAUACUUUUGUCCAAACCCAUAGACUGUACAAUACCAAGAAUUAACCCCAGUGUAAACUCUGAACGUUGAGUGAUAAGGAUGUGUCAGUGUAGGUUUAUCAGUUGUAACAAAUGGGCCCCUCUGUGGGGGAUGUUGAUAAUGGGGAGGCCAUGCAUGUGUGAAGGCAGGGAGUAGAGGGGAAAUCUCUAUACUUUCCAUUCAAUUUAGCUGUGAAUCCACAACUUUCCUAAAAACUAAACUAUAUUAAAAUAAAAAAUCUUAAAUAAAAAAACCACAUGUCUGCAAAUUAUAUGACAAUCCCCUUAGAGAGAGGGAAGGCCAGCUGGGCACAGUGGCUCAUGCCUGUAAUCCCAGCACUUUGGGAGGCUGAGGUGGGUAGAUCAUGAAUUCAGGGGUUCGAGACCAGCCUGGCCAACGUGGUGAAACCCCAUCUCUAUUAAAAAUACAAAACAUUAGCCAGGCUUGGUGGUGCAUGCCUGUAAUCCCAUCUACUCAGGACACUGAGGCAGGAGAAUCACUUGAACCCAGGAGGUGGAGGUUGUAAUGAGCUGAGAUCACACCAUUGCACUCCAGCCUGGGCAACAGAGUGAGACUUGGUCUCAAAAAAAAAAAAAAGAGAAAGAGACAGAGAGAGAGGGAAGGCCUAUAGCAUUUCCCCUUGUAUCUGAGCAAGCUUCUAACUUACUUGUAAUCAAAAGAAUGUGGCAGAAGUAAUGCUCCAUGACUUCCAAAGCCAAAUGGUAAAAGACCUUGCAGCCUCCAUCUUGUUCUCUGGAACAUUUGCACUUGGAGUUCUGAACCCCAAGCCACGGUGUAAGAAAUUCAACUGCCCUGAAACCACAACUACAAUGAAAGGAAUCUCAGGUGUCUGGAGCAGCCAUGUGUAAGAGUGCUGAAGGUCACAGCUGAGUCCUACCCCAGAGCCAGCAUCACCUGACUGACUUGUGAAUUAAUCAACAUUUCAUGAUCCCACUCUCCCACAGCCUUGAAUUCCCCACAGCCUUUGAGUCUUCCUAGUUGAGGCUCAGAUGUUGUGGAGCAGAGGUAAGCAGCCCCUGCCAUGCCCUGUUCAAAUUCCUGGCCCAUGAAAUCUGUGAGCCAAAAAAAAAAAAGUUAUUUUUAUGUUUUAUGCUCCUAAGUAGAUGCAAACUGUAGUGACUUGCAGGGCUUCCUUGAUCCAAUGAUGAGGAUUGGGGGUGUUGGAGGGUGACCUGUGUCAGAAAAAGGAGAAAGAGGAAUGCACAGACCAGGCCAUGCCACUAUGGAAGACAAACAAUGAUCUGAACAGUGCUAUUUGUACAGACGGUCCACAACUUAUAAUGGUUUGACUUACAAUUUUUUGACUUUAUAAUGACACGUAAGCAACAUGUGUUCAGUAGAAACCAUACUUCAAAUAUCCGCCUACCAUUCUGUUUUUCACUUUCAGUUCAGUAUUCAAUAAAUUACAUGAGAUAUUCAACACUUCGUUAUAAAAUGGGCUUUGCGUUAGAUGAUUUUGCCCAACUGCGGGCUAUGUCCUUGUUUGUUGCACGAACAUUGUUCAAGUAUGUUUAAGAUACGUUAGGCUAAGAGAUGAUGCUCAGCAGGUGAGGUGUAUUAAAUGCAUUUUCAAACUAUAAUAUUUUCAACAUACCCCGUCAUAAGUUGAGGAGAGUCUGUACUAUUUGCUUUUUUGAGGUGAAAAUGGAACCUCAUGUAAACACAUUUCACGAAGGAUCCCUGGGCCUGGCCUCUGGCAUCACAGCCUUGCAGUGGUCACUGGGGAUGCACACAGCCUCUCUUGACUGCUACCCUAAUCAACAGCAGACAGGAGCCUCCUCCUCUUCAGAGGCCCUUCCCGUGGUUGGAAGCCAAACAACUUCAUAGUGGGACAUCUGUCUAUUUCGCAUAGGCUCCUUGGAGAAAUGCUGGUGGACAGGAUUUGAAGACUUGCAGUCAGGAAUUCAUUCCUCCCAGCAGGGGAUGGGGGCUCAACUCCUGGUGACUCAGACCCUGGCAGGGGCUUCUGCCACUUCUUGCUUGUUCCCUCACCACCUCCCAGGGGUUUUUUUAGGUGAUGACAAAGAUUGUGUCUCCCCAAAAGGUAUCCCAAAAAC